rnacentral:lncRNA from 1 species
GUUCUCCCGAAAAAAGACGCCUUUCUCCGUGAGGAAAGAGUUUCACAGAAGACUCGAACCACCUUCCAUCGCCUUCUUAAACACAAGGGGUCGAUUCAUUGCUCGUGACUUACCAUUCUUGUCUCUGCGCGUGUGGGAUACUCUUUCCGGGUUGCGCUGCACGCGAUUGUAUUUUCUGUGCACCGUAUUUCUCGUCGAGUUUGUAUUCGCUGUUAGAGACGGGUUUUUUUGUCGUUCCGAAAGGUCUUCUUCCGGCCGCUGUAUGCUCUGACAUCCGAAACGCGAAGUUUCUCCGCCGUUUUCCCCAGUCCUCCGUUCUGCUGGGUCGAGUUCUCUGGACUGCGUUUCUUCCCCGUUCUCCUGAUAACUCUGCGGCGUUUUCCUGGAGAAUUCCUUUCUUUCAAGGACAUAUAAGUGGAUUCUGUUGCGUCUGGCUCGCGCAUUUUCUUUUGUCUGCCAACAUGUUUGCCUUGCAGGAUGCCGAGCAGCUUCAGCUGCAGAGAAUGAUGCAGGAGAAGUUUGUGAAGAGGCUGCGAGCGUUUGCGGUUUUCGUUGCUGCUCUGCGUGCCCUUCCCAUCGUUGUUUCGAUCUUCUCGGAAACUCCAAGCGGACAGGCUUAACGAGCAGCAGUUUCCCUUCUCACUCGCGUGGAAAGACACGUUUUCUCCAAAUUUCCUGGACAAACAAGAUGUGGACAGUCGGACCUACUUCUUCCACGUUGCGGGCAAGACAAAGAGACGACGUUUGUUUUUCCACCCGCGGUCAAACUGACAAGGACUGUGUGAUGUUUUAGGCCACACGGGAGACUCUCCGAGAAGUCCACCGUCAGCAUUUUCCGUGCGAUUUGCAAAUCGGACGUAAGGAGUUUAGACUCUUGUUGACGGGGGAUGUGGUCGGCGAAAACACAGAUUUUUUCGUGUUGUUGGUUGGAGGCUCUUUUGAGACAGAAAAAAGUUGGAAAACUCACGGACGGAAAUCCGAGGAAAGUGAUUGCCUUAGUUUCGCGAACUUUUUUCUCCGGCUUAAAAAACAAGUUCUGUAGCUGCUGAACCCUUUGGUUUCCAGGACGAUAUGUUUCGCGCGAUGAAACAUAAGCAAAACCGAAAACGGUUCACUGAUCGCUAGCGGCGAAUUGCUCCUGACUUUUUCGCUUCGCGUUUUGACCCACAGAAAAUCUCGAAUGGGUUUUUGGUCAGGAAGUGCCGUUGUCACUUCCAGUCUCUGGGAACGGACAGAACACUCUGAACUGUCGGGAGUUCGACUUCAGUUAGUAGCUUCUCCCCUUUUCUUUGCCCACUGAAUGUCGCUACUGUCACCAUCAUAACAUUAUAGGGAAGUAGGACAGAACGAUAGCCUAGAGUACGAAAGUACGCAAGAAGAUUCCGUUUCGCAACAGGAAUCGUCGACGAAUUAAUAUUCGCCUGUGCGGCUCGAAUCUCAGCAACUCUGUAUGAGGGAAGGAUGCCUGAAAGGCAGACAACCGCCGGUUCUAGAUGGAACCGCUUUUGAAACACGAGGUACUCUGAAAAACGCCAUUCAGGUUCGAUAAACAUAAACAGCGGUGAUCCUAAGGAUCACAGAGACGCUGUACAAACACGGUAGCGCUGUGGUUUUGCUGAGAAGUUCAGGAGAAUUAAUGUAUCUCCUGUCUAGGCGCUGUGUCGCGCCAGGUUUCCCUGUACCUUCCUUGCCACACAAAGAACAAAGCUUCCUGACCUCCGACAAGCAACUUCCUCACGACGAAACCUUCCACGGAUUUCAAGAAAAACGCGUUUCUUUUACCUUUUCCCCGCAGCACUUCUCUUUCACUGGAAAAACCCCACGACUUGCACUGUUCGUUUGUCCCAGAGGCUCGACAAAGACAACCGACAAAUUUCACACUCC